GGAGACAUUGUGACCUCAAGCUCCCUCCCUCCACCAUUCCAUUCCCAUCACGAUGGACUGCACUCUAAAACUGUGAACCAGAAUAACCAUGUGUUUGUGACAGCAACGGAACAAGUAACUAAUUAGGCCGGGGUAUGCUCGAGACACUCCACUCAACACUCAAAGUGACCACACAGGUGUGGGCAUUUGAACUUGGUUCCUAGUUGGCGUCACUGCUUGGGAAGUUCCGGAUCCUUUAGGAGGUGCAGCCUCACAGGAGAAAGUACACGAGAGGAUGAGGAAAUGGCCUUGAGAGCAUAUAGCCUUGCUUGGGUUCAAGUUUGCCUUCUCCAUCUUCUACAUGUGAAUAAAGAAAUUGUCUCAUGCACAGACCAUGUUGCAAAGCAGAAGAAUGAUGUGGAAAUAACGGAAGUCAAUUAUUCUAGAGUAAGAAGGCCAACAUCACAGUGGUUGCCCUCUGCGGAGUAGUGCAUUCUUUAGGCUUCGCUGCUGAGCAAUGAAACGGAUCAGGCAAUUUGUUUCUGGAGAGCCCCGGACACCGACUGUAGACCGUCGCC